rnacentral:lncRNA from 1 species
AUAAAAAGAUGAGUCCAGUCCUUGGACACUGCUGUACCAGGACCCCUCUGCCCACUAAAGAAAUGGUCCAGCGAUUUCAGACCCCCAAAUCACACACACACCUUAGCAGAAACGAGGAAGCUCCACUCGACUCUCUCUUUCUUGUCCUUAGCAAUCAGCAGCCAUUUCCCAAAGGGGUCCAGGCCAAGCCACUUCCUGGGGUGUCUCAUAUGGGGGGCAUCAUCAUUCCCCUGCCUGUGUCUGGAGCAGGAAGAAAAAGAAGGGAAGCAAGCACAUUUGCCGUGGCCGGAAACUUCCUCCGCCUGGUUAGUCAGGGCCUGCGCCUACCUUCCUGUGGCCCAGGAAGCCAGCACAGGUUUUCUGCAAAUGAGAAGCACAAAAAUGCAUGCAAAGGUGCCAGGCCACACAAACAGGAGCUGUCUCUUGGUGCCUGGAGACAACCUUCCUACCAUGCCUCUCCAAUGCCCCAGACCCCAAGUUUUCAAAGAGUGGCGGAAAGUGGAGUUUGAAGCCAGA